UACGUAGGGUGCGAGCGUUGUCCGGAAUUAUUGGGCGUAAAGGGCUCGUAGGCGGCCAACUAAGUCGGAUGUGAAAUCCCCAGGCUUAACCUGGGAACUGCAUCCGAUACUGGAUGGCUUGAAUCCGGGAGAGGGAUGCGGAAUUCCAGGUGUAGCGGUGAAAUGCGUAGAUAUCUGGAGGAACACCGGUGGCGAAGGCGGCAUCCUGGACCGGCAUUGACGCCGUGAGGAGCGAAAGCCAGGGGAGCAAACGGG
rnacentral:rRNA from 1 species